GGAGAGAUGCCGGAGUGGUCGAACGGGCCUGACUUGAAAUCAGGUAGCCCGCUUUGCGGGCUCGGGGGUUCGAAUCCCUCUCUCUCCG
rnacentral:tRNA from 1 species